rnacentral:rRNA from 1 species
AGAUUGAACGCUGGCGGCAGGCCUAACACAUGCAAGUCGAGCGGCAGCACGGGUACUUGUACCUGGUGGCGAGCGGCGGACGGGUGAGUAAUGCCUAGGAAUCUGCCUAGUGGUGGGGGAUAACGUUCGGAAACGGACGCUAAUACCGCAUACGUCCUACGGGAGAAAGCGGGGGACCUUCGGGCCUCGCGCCAUUAGAUGAGCCUAGGUCGGAUUAGCUAGUUGGUGAGGUAAUGGCUCACCAAGGCGACGAUCCGUAACUGGUCUGAGAGGAUGAUCAGUCACACUGGAACUGAGACACGGUCCAGACUCCUACGGGAGGCAGCAGUGGGGAAUAUUGGACAAUGGGCGAAAGCCUGAUCCAGCCAUGCCGCGUGUGUGAAGAAGGUCUUCGGAUUGUAAAGCACUUUAAGUGGAGAAGGUUGUAACCUAAUACGUUGCAACUUUGACGUUACCGACAGAAUAAGCACGCUAACUCGUGCCAGCAGCCG